rnacentral:rRNA from 1 species
AUGGCUCAGGAUGAACGCUAGCUACAGGCUUAACACAUGCAAGUCGCGGGGCAGCAUGUUGGUGCUGCAACCGAUGAUGGCGACCGGCGCACGGGUGAGUAACGCGUAUCCAACCUUCCCCAUAGUAGGGUACAGCCCGGCGAAAGUCGGAUUAAUGCCCUAUGUUCUUCGCAGAUGGCAUCUGAUGUGAAGCAAAGGUAUUCCGCUAUGGGAUGGGGAUGCGUCUGAUUAGCUUGCCGGCGGGGUAACGGCCCACCGGGGCGACGAUCAGUAGGGGUCUGAGAGGAAGGUCCCCCACACUGGUACUGAGACACGGACCAGACUCCUACGGGAGGCAGCAGUGAGGAAUAUUGGUCAAUGGGCGAGAGCCCGAACCAGCCAAGUAGCGUGCAGGAUGACCGGCCCUACGGGUUGUAAACUGCUUUUAUGCGGGGAUAAAGUUCGCCAUGCGUGGUGUUUUGCAUGUACCGCAUGGAUAAGGACCGGCUAAUUCCGUGCCAGCCGCCGC